AAAAAUUAAAAUUAAAAACAAAAUAAGAUAAUAGGUCCUACUUUUAUGGAACAUAACUACCCUGUUAUCUUUUAUUAAUUCUAAAAAUAAAAUAAAAAAGAAAAAGAAAACCAAUUGGCACAUGCGUGAGUAUGUAUCAAGAGACUAGUAAUUUAUAUGGGAAAACCAAGUUUAUUAUGAAAAAUUGUUUCAUACAUCAUCUUCUUGGUUCCCG
rnacentral:lncRNA from 1 species